rnacentral:rRNA from 1 species
AACGCGAAGAACCUUACCGGGGCUUGACAUCGGAGGACAACUCUAGAAAUAGAGCUUAGGGGCAACCCUACUUCCAGACAGGUGCUGCAUGGCUGUCGUCAGCUCGUGCCGUGAGGUGUUGGGUUAAGUCCCGCAACGAGCGCAACCCUCGUCCUAUGUUGCCAGCGGGUAAUGCCGGGGACUCAUAGGAGACUGCCGGGGUCAACUCGGAGGAAGGUGGGGAUGACGUCAAGUCCUCAUGCCCCUUAUGUCUUGGGCUGCAAACAUGCUACAAUGGCCAGUACAAAGGGUUGCAAGACCGCAAGGUGGAGCGAAUCCCAAAAAGCUGGUCUCAGUUCGGAUUGGGGUCUGCAACUCGACCCCAUGAAGUCGGAGUCGCUAGUAAUCGCAGAUCAGCAACGCUGCGGUGAAUACGUUCCCGGGCCUUGUACACACCGACAUA